GUAGGGAAUUUUCGGCAAUGGGCGAAAGCCUGACCGAGCAACGCCGCGUGAACGAAGAAGUAUUUCGGUAUGUAAAGUUCUUUUAUUGGGGAAGAAAAAUAACCAAAUUGACGGUACCCAAUGAAUAAGCUCCGGCUAACUACGUGCCAGCAGCCGCGGUAAUACGUAGGGAGCGAGCGUUAUCCGGAAUUAUUGGGCGUAAAGGGUGCGUAGAUGGCAAUAUAAGUCUUAUGUAAAAAUGCUGGGCUCAACCCAGUAGGGCAUAAGAUACUGUAUAGCUCGAGUAUUGGAGAGGCAAGUGGAACUCCAUGUGUAGCGGUAAAAUGCGUAAAUAUAUGGAAGAACACCAGUGGCGAAGGCGGCUUGCUAGCCAGAUACUGACAUUGAGGCACGAAAGCGUGGGGAGCAAACAGGAUUAGAAACCCUAGUAGUCC
rnacentral:rRNA from 1 species